rnacentral:rRNA from 1 species
GACGAACGCUGGCGGCGUGCCUAAUACAUGCAAGUCGAGCGCAGGAAACUGACGGAACUCUUCGGAGGGAAGGCAGUGGAAUGAGCGGCGGACGGGUGAGUAACACGUAAGGAACCUGCCUCAAGGACUGGGAUAACUCCGAGAAAUCGGAGCUAAUACCGGAUAGUUCAACGGACCGCAUGGUCCGCCGAUGAAAGGCGCUCCGGCGUCACCUUGAGAUGGCCUUGCGGUGCAUUAGCUAGUUGGUGGGGUAACGGCCCACCAAGGCGACGAUGCAUAGCCGACCUGAGAGGGUGAUCGGCCACACUGGGACUGAGACACGGCCCAGACUCCUACGGGAGGCAGCAGUAGGGAAUCUUCCACAAUGGACGAAAGUCUGAUGGAGCAACGCCGCGUGAGUGAUGAAGGUUUUCGGAUCGUAAAACUCUGUUGUAAGGGAAGAACACGUACGAGAGGGAAUGCUCGUACCUUGACGGUACCUUACGAGAAAGCCACGGCUAACUACGUGCCAGCCGCCGCCGUAA